rnacentral:tRNA from 1 species
GGGCCCGUAGCUCAGCCAGGAUAGAGCGCCGGCCUCCUAAAGAUAGAUCCAGGGAAGCCGGUGGUCGGGGGUUCGAAUCCCCCCGGGCCCG